GACGAACGCUGGCGGCGUGCUUAACACAUGCAAGUCGAACGGAAAGGCCCUGCUUUUGUGGGGUGCUCGAGUGGCGAACGGGUGAGUAACACGUGAGUAACCUGCCCUUGACUUUGGGAUAACUUCAGGAAACUGGGGCUAAUACCGGAUAGGAGCUCCUGCUGCAUGGUGGGGGUUGGAAAGUUUCGGCGGUUGGGGAUGGACUCGCGGCUUAUCAGCUUGUUGGUGGGGUAGUGGCUUACCAAGGCUUUGACGGGUAGCCGGCAUGAGAGGGUGACCGGCCACAUUGGGACUGAGAGACGGCACAGACUCCUACGGGAGGCAGCAGUGGGGAAUAUUGAACAAUGGGAGGAAGCAUGAUGCAGAAAAGCAGCGUGCGGGAUGACGGCCUUCGGGUUGUAAACAGCUUUCGAAUGUGACGAAGCGUGAGUGACGGUAAUGGGUAAAGAAGCACCGGCUAACUACGUG
rnacentral:rRNA from 1 species